CGAGGAGCACGCGAGCAAGCACGCGAACUGCCCACGUGAAGUUCCUUCUGUUUUAGGCCUCGCUUCAUCUGCAGAACACAGCGAGUUUUUUCCUCCGAAAGACCUGUUCCUCUGGACGUGCUUCUGUCUUGUAGCGGGAGGCUACCAGCCGUCACGAAGACCUCAUCGCGUGUCACAAUUUCGCGCCGUCUUACGGCUCCUUGCCAACGUGUCUGGUCAGACCGCUCAAGAAUUCUGUAGAAAGUAACGCAACUUUCGAGUUGGGGACAGGCGAGGGAAUCCUCAAAUAGGUGACGGAAGUGACCCACCAUCAUGCAAGUCUCCGCCUGCGCGAAGCUCAUCACCGGCCUAGCUCGUACCACGUGGACAGCGACAUUCGAAAUAUCAGACGCUGCCCAACACCUCGGCCUGGACGUGGCCCAAACGGAAUUGACAUUAGUAGCCUACUGCGAUCGGCUCGUCCAGAGUCACGUUCUUCUAUGACGUGGACGAGUGGACGCCGAAUGAACGCCAUCAGAAGGUGAGCGUACGGUACUCGCGUCAACUUCGGCUCGCCCACUGCCUCGGUGUGGCGUCUGAAGUCCUACUUGAAUUUAUUGCGAAAUGCCUCGAGCUCCGCUGUGCAAACCUCAUCGCCGAGCCACCGGCGUUCUUUCAGCUGCUGUCUCAGAUGCUGGUAUACCUGAAGAUGAUGCGAUGGUCUCUCUACGAGGACGGCCGCUACGAGUCUUGGCUGGAGAAAGACGCCGUUGCGGAUAUCGGCUCGCAAUGCCAGCUGCAGACUCUCAAGCUCGAUACCGUCUACGCGGACUUCGUAGCGACACCGCUGGUAGCCGACUUCUUGAACAACGUCUCGAACGGCUGCGACGACCAGCAGUUCGUGAAGUUCGUGAUCGCUCUACGUACGAAACUGCCAAUUUUAUUUGCACCUAAAUCAAAGUAAACCUUAGAAAAGUGCGCGUCCUUUAUUCUUAGUCCCCAAAAUAUUUGUUUCCUUAUUUGUUAUUUUACUCCAUGUUCAAUAAUGAAUGAUUUAUUACUGUUGAA